UAAUACGGAGGGUGCGAGCGUUAAUCGGAAUAACUGGGCGUAAAGGGCAAGUAGGCGGAUAGAUAAGUAAGAUGUGAAAUACAUGGGCUCAACCUAUGUGCUGCAUUUUAAACUGUGUAUCUAGAGUAUUGCAGAGGGAGAUGGAAUUCCAGGUGUAGCGGUGGAAUGCGUAGAUAUCUGGAAGAACACCGGAGGCGAAGGCGAUCUUCUGGGCAAAUACUGACGCUGAGGAUGCGAAAGCGUGGGGAGCAAACAGG
rnacentral:rRNA from 1 species